rnacentral:rRNA from 1 species
UACGGGGGGUGCAAGCGUUAUUCGGAAUUAUUGGGCGUAAAGGGCGCGUAGGCGGUUUUAUAAGUCAGAUGUGAAAGCCCCGGGCUUAACCCGGGAAGAGCAUUUGAAACUAUAUAACUUGAGUACGGUAGAGGAAAGCGGAAUUCCUGGUGUAGAGGUGAAAUUCGUAGAUAUCAGGAGGAACACCGGUGGCGAAGGCGGCUUUCUGGACCUGUACUGACGCUGAGGCGCGAAGGCGUGGGUAGCGAACGGG